GGGUAGGUAGCUCAGCUGGUAGAGCAAUGGACUGAAAAUCCAUGUGUCGCCGGUUCAACUCCGGCCCUACCCA
rnacentral:tRNA from 1 species